GGACUUCAUCUUAGGCACUCUGGAACCCCAGAGUUAGCACAGGGCUCGGCACAUCAAAGACGCUCAAUAGGUAUUUGUAGAAUGUACACACAAAUCUUGGAAAGGUGGGCAGGGAUGCUGUGUGUCCUGGGGCCAGGAAGCCACCUCUCUGAGUCUCCCUUUCCUCACCCGUCAAAAAGAGGUAACAGCAGCUCUUGCAAAGGCUGAGGAGCAGAUGAAAGGAGACCACACCCUGCAAAGGCACUGUGAGCUGGUGAGGGGGUGCAGCGAUGUCACAGUUCCUACAGCCCGGCCUGCAAAUCUGGCCACAGCUGCCAGUCAACAGCCCAGGCUCGGCUAAGGGUGCCGUAACUUGGUGCCCACCUUGGAUUUUCACACCCAGCUGGCUACUGGCCACCAGAUGGCAUAGAAGAGACAGAGUCUUGUGAUAUUGCCUAGGCUGGUCUUGAACUCCUGGCUUCAAGUAAUCCUCCCGCUUCAGUCUCCGGGAUCUUUCCAGUGCCGGACUAGGAAUGGCAGAACCUACUAGUUGCCCACCCAGUAUCCAUCCUCCACCUCCUCCUUGCGAACAGAACCCCAGUUUUGCUCACAGGUGGCCAUAUGCCCAGAUAAAAACACUCACAUUCUCGACUCCCUUGCAGUUAGCAGCAGCCAUGUGACCUGGUCUGUACAAUGAGAUGCAGGUGGAAGUCCCUGGGCAGGGAAUUUCUUUUCACUCCCUCAAAUAUCAAAGUGCCCAGAAAAGAAGACUUUUGUGUUUUUGUUUUGCUUUUGCCCUUUGCCCUUAAAAAAAAAUUCCUGCCUGGGUGAGACUCCAUCUCAAUCAAAAAAAAAAAAAUUUCCUGCCUCGAAUGUGGACUUGAUGCCUGGAGGUGGAGGAGCAGCCACCUUGAGACCGUAAGUGUCACAGACACGUACUCAGAAUGGGGGAAACGAAAGAAAGAUGCUUGAGUCCUUCAGCAGCAGCACCAGUGCGGGGCUGCCCAGCUCUGGACUUACUGUGUUUGUUCAAGCCAUUGUUUGCUGGAUUUUUCUCAUCCUUGCAGCUACAUGCCUUCCUAACUGAAACUGUGCCUAAAUAAGCAUUUGUAUUUAUCUAUGUUCUUCCCCACUAAAAUGGUAGCAUAUACUCCACCUACCCUUCAGGAUCUUACGUCUUCACUUAACAAUAUAUCUUGGAGGUUGUUACAAAUAGGUACACACAGAGCUGCCCUGAACUUUUAAAUGAAUGUGUCUAAGACCUUGCACAGAUGCUUCCUAGAGCGUUCCACCAGGUCCCUGUUGGUGUGGGUCGUUCUCAACUUCUUGCUAUCACAGAUAAUACUGCAGAGACAAAACAGGGACAUUGUUCAUAUCCCACAUGUGAGGGUUUGUCUUCAGAAGAAUUGCUGAAUGCAAGGGCAGAUGCUUUUUCAGUGUUCUUAGAUUUUGUCAAAUUUCCCUGCAAAGAGGUCUGGCUGACGUGCAUUCCACCACCAAUGUGGGAGUGCACCCACACGUUGUCUCUAAUCCUUUCAACAACAAACUAUGAUGGUGUCCAUUUUGCUGAGGCUCAGAGAAUUGUACAUCGCCUGCCCAAAGUCAUCACAGGCAACUGAUGAGAUGGGGAUUUGUACCAGGGUCUGUCUGAUGUCAAAGCUGUGCUUGUAAACACAUGACAUUGCUUUUCAGGCAGGCUGGAUUCCAGAGACUCUCAGAAAAGAGGGAAGAACGAAUCUGACCCAGGCGCUGGUCUGUACCUGAGAAGAGCCUUUGGGCUGGGCUGUGGGGAGGCCCGUGUUUGUCCUGGGCUGCAUCCCAGCUCAGGUCUGUCACGGCCUUGCUGUGUGAGCAAGUCCUGCCCCCUACCCUCUCUCUGGGCCUCAGUCUUUCCACCUGUCAAAUGGAUGGCUUGGAGUUGCUGGUUCCUAAAAUCCUUUAAUGUUAGGCUUCUUGAAAAUCCCCAAGUCUGAGGGUCUUUUGGGAGCUGCUUUUCAGACCUCAAAAUGGAAACAGUGAUUUUUCCUCUAUUCCUGACCGAGCAGAGGUCAGCAGCGUCAGGGGCAUCUAUUUCUAUCUGCGGACUGAGGUCACAUUCCCUGGGGGAGGCUGGGCCACGGUGGGGCAACAGUCCACUGCUCUGUUUUCUCUGUAGGGCACAUCUUCUCCCAGCUCUGACAGCCAGAUUCUGAGGACAAAUAUUCCAGUUAUGGUUUCAUAUACUGAGUGUUUUCUGAAGUGAUUUACAUAUCUAAUCUGGAAGAGAGGGACUACUCUUAUCCCCAUUUUACAGAUAAGGCAACAGGGGCACAGAGAGAUCGAUCAACUUGCCUGAGGUCAUUCGGCCAGUAAGUGGCAGCCAGGAUUUGGCCCCAGGAAGCCUGGUGCAAGAAUCUGUGCCCUUCACCGAGCAUUUCUCAACCUCGACCUAUUGGC